rnacentral:rRNA from 1 species
CAGCACGCCGCGUGAGGGAUGACGGCCUUCGGGUUGUAAACCUCUUUUAGUAGGGAAGAAGCGAAAGUGACGGUACCUGCAGAAAAAGCACCGGCUAACUACGUGCCAGCAGCCGCGGUAAUACGUAGGGUGCAAGCGUUGUCCGGAAUUAUUGGGCGUAAAGAGCUCGUAGGCGGUUUGUCGCGUCUGCUGUGAAAUCCCGAGGCUCAACCUCGGGCUUGCAGUGGGUACGGGCAGACUAGAGUGCGGUAGGGGAGAUUGGAAUUCCUGGUGUAGCGGUGGAAUGCGCAGAUAUCAGGAGGAACACCGAUGGCGAAGGCAGAUCUCUGGGCCGUAACUGACGCUGAGGAGCGAAAGCGUGGGGAGCGAACAGGAUUAGAUACCCUGGUAGUCCACGCCGUAAACGUUGGGCGCUAGAUGUAGGGACCUUUCCACGGUUUCUGUGUCGUAGCUAACGCAUUAAGCGCCCCGCCUGGGGAGUACGGCCGCAAGGCUAAAACUCAAAGGAAUUGACGGGGGCCCGCACAAGCGGCGGAGCAUGCGGAUUAAUUCGAUGCAACGCGAAGAACCUUACCAAGGCUUGACAUACACCGGAAACGGCCAGAGAUGGUCGCCCCCUUGUGGUCGGUGUACAGGUGGUGCAUGGUUGUCGUCAGCUCGUGUCGUGAGAUGUUGGGUUAAGUCCCGCAACGAGCGCAACCCUCGUUCUAUGUUGCCAGCGCGUUAUGGCGGGAACUCAUAAGAGACUGCCGGGGUCAACUCGGAGAGUGUGGGGAUGACGUCGAAUCAUCAUGCCCCUUAUGUCUUGCAGCUGCACGCAUGCUACAAUGGCCAGUACAAA